AGCGAGUGCUGAGGACAGCUCCGCCGGAGCAGUAGAGUGUUUCAGAAGAGAGAAAAAGAUGGCGGCCGUGAACUGGCUUUCUAUGGAUGGUAAAGCUGUGCUGAGAACUGGGCUGACUAUUGCAGCUGAAAAAGCGUGCCGAGUGUGCAGACGCAUAGGAAUAACUUUUCCGUGUAGGUUGAGCUUGUGUAAGUGAUUUUUUAGCCGGGAGAGAUUGGAGGUUCUGUUUGGUGGUGGAGGACGGAGAGAGGA